AUUGAACGCUGGCGGCAGGCUUAACACAUGCAAGUCGAGCGGAGCGAGGGUGCUUGCACCUUAGCUUAGCGGCGGACGGGUGAGUAAUGCUUAGGAAUCUGCCUAUUAGUGGGGGACAACAUUCCGAAAGGAAUGCUAAUACCGCAUACGCCCUACGGGGGAAAGCAGGGGAUCUUCGGACCUUGCGCUAAUAGAUGAGCCUAAGUCGGAUUAGCUAGUUGGUGGGGUAAAGGCCUACCAAGGCGACGAUCUGUAGCGGGUCUGAGAGGAUGAUCCGCCACACGGGGACUGAGACACGGCCCAGACUCCUACGGGAGGCAGCAGUGGGGAAUAUUGGACAAUGGGCGGAAGCCUGAUCCAGCCAUGCCGCGUGUGUGAAGAAGGCCUUUUGGUUGUAAAGCACUUUAAGCGAGGAGGAGGCUACCUGGAUUAAUACUCUAGGAUAGUGGACGUUACUCGCAGAAUAAGCACCGGCUAACUCUGUGCCAGCCGCCGCCGUAACAC
rnacentral:rRNA from 1 species